GACAUACGUAAAAAAUCAUGCCUAUUAAUUAAUAAGAGAGAACUACCCAACUCAUUUAAUGAUUUAGGACCAAAACCCCCAAGUAGUAGGAAAAUGAAUGAAAAGAACGCAACAAAAACAUACCUAGUAUAGCCCCACAAAGAACAAAUGAAAAGAAAUGCAUAAAUCGUACAGAGCCUACACGUUACAGUACAAAGCAAGAAAAUAAAGAGC
rnacentral:misc_RNA from 1 species